rnacentral:rRNA from 1 species
GACGAACGCUGGCGGCGUGCCUAACACAUGCAAGUCGAACGAAGUGGCGAACGGGUGAGUAACGCGUAAUCAACCUGCCCUUCAGAGGGGGACAACAGUUGGACACGACUGCUAAUACCGCAUACUGAAGGAGGGGAUUGCGUGUGAUUAGCUAGUUGGGGGGGUAACGGCCCACCAAGGCGAUGAUCAGUAGCCGGUCUGAGAGGGUGAACGGCAAAAUUGGGACUGAGACACGGUCCAGACUCCUACGGGAGGCAGCAGUGGGGAAUAUUGGACAAUGGGCGAAAGCCUGAUCCAGCCAUGCCGCGUGUGUGAAGAAGGUCUUCGGAUUGUAAAGCACUUUAAGUUGGGAGGCGUUACCAACAGAAUAAGCACCGGCUAACUACGUGCCAGCAGCCGCGGUAAUUC